rnacentral:lncRNA from 1 species
AUGAGCCACAGUAGGCCUUGAUGGGACUGCUCCUUGCACAUCAGAGUUCCAGAACAUGGUAGGGAGUCUGAGUUUGUCUAAGAGCCAACGACCUGAACUUAUAGCAACUGAAGAAAAGCCUAUCUGAGCUCUCCAGGGAUCACAGCAAGCUGUAACCCUUGAUCUCUGCGGUGGAGUAGCUUUUCCCCCAAGUCAGCUAUGGUUCAAGAUUGCCUAAUGUUACAUCAGUCCUCCAUUGUCAAUGGACAAUGGCCAUAACAAGUGAGUACGAGCAGGCACUCCCUGAUUGCACCUCCAAACCUGCAGCCUGGACAGUAGCCUCAUCUGGGGAGUACCACAACUAUACAUUCUGGAAGAAAAAAAUAUUACCUCUAAGAAGUGAAACAUGCCAGGCUAUGCAAGAGGAC